ACCUGCAACCUUCCGACUGCCAGACAAUCGCUCUUAUCUCCUGAGAAUAGUUCCAAAUAACUGGAAUUCAUAGCAUUGGUCUCACUGUUCCAGAGAACAUAAUUAUAUGAGAACUUAUGAAUAUAGCUACACUACUGCUACAGUAACUACAGUACAUAAAUACCAACCAACCGAUACCAGCAAUAAAGAACUGUUAUUCCUGGUAUCGGUGACAGAGUUCCAGUGAAAAUUUAUUAAUCUGGCAAAUCAGUACUCGAUGACUUGCACUUCAGUGAUAUCAAGGUUAAAAUUUAAUACAAAUGUUUUAGUAAUGCCAGCUUAUGAACAAAUAGUGUAAUAAAAUAUAAUGGUGUUAUAAAAUUAAAAAAAAAACAUUUUAUAUACCUAUUGUUGCAACAUAAAAACAUUCAGAACAAUGAACCUCAGGCCAAGUUUCUUUAGAAGCAGAGGCAUUGAUCAAUAUUUUUUAUAGCGUACAAAUAAAAGCAUAAAAAGAUGGCUGAAACAUGGGAGUGGUUGGGAUAGAAGCAUCUUCCGCUGGCUGAUGAAUGCAAGGCAGUAAAUAACCCUGGUAAUUCCAGGUACCAGGGGAAGCAGCUUUAUCAGUCAGCUGCUCUUAAGUGCACAGUGAGUGGCUAGCAUUUUCAUAUUGGAAAUACUGCAAGCUCAGAACUAGGGACUUUUUUCUAUAUUUCCAAGGCUUUUGGGAAAAUAAAAGAACAAAUAAUGAACAUGGAAAAAAGCACAAUGACUUUCAUUUUCAAGCCAUUGAUCUAAAGAAUUAUUGAGCUUAUUAUUUGCACUGACAUAAAACUAAAUUGACCUCCAUUUGUGAAUGUACUGGAAUGAAAUCAUGUGCUCUUUCAUUUAAGUUCAAGUGUAUUUUUAAGUAUACUUUCACCACAAAGCAAAGACAAAUUCAACCAGUUAAGUAUGAUAUUGUCUUUAAUGUCAAGUAGAAACACAUUCAAGCGAUAGCAAUAAUACAUUAAAAAGCUUUCAGUUUGUCCUAGAUUACUGAUAAAUAACAGAUAAAAUGAACUUUGAGUUUAAUUUUGUAAGAUUAUAGCCCUGCAAUUAAAUAGAAAAUGCUAUCAAAUUAAGAUAUUUCAAAGGAUGUGUUAGUGUCACAGCACAGGUAAGACACAUUUGCACUGUGAGUUUGCAUGGAAUAAAAUAUAAUAAAUAUCUGUAAAUACAUUAAAGCCACUAGUCCACAACUAAUAAAAAGAGUACAGUACUUUUAAAAGGGUUUUACCCCAUUUCCAACCAGUAAUUCAAACUAAUCCACAGGUUUUAUGGAACUUCCUGUUUCAAUGAACUAAUAUAAGAGUUUCAACAGGAAGAGGAGGGCUACUGAAAAAAGGAGAGAAGAGAACAUUGAACUGUCAUUGGAUGAGAAGUAAUCUGUCUUCUUCACUUCCUGCUUGGAUAUUUAACAACAAAAAAGUGCAAUGCCUCAUGGGAAUCUACCAUAGAAGAGCUGAAAUUUUAACACUUAGCUGCCAGGGGAUACUGGGAACUUAGAGUUUAGUGAAAGAGAUCAAUGUUAUCUGAACUACAGAAAAGGAGUCUACAAACAUCCCUUUAAGCUAUUAUUCACAAGGGAUCAAAUUGCGAGCUAAAGCACGACUGACUCGAAAGCACAUGAUGCAGAACAAGUGCAAGCUAGGUGUAAAGUUGUCUCUCUUCAGGCAAUCUUUGCUGAAUAGUGCAAAGUUUCUACUUCAGCACCAAGGAGAGCUGAGAGUUUGCACAGCCAGAGGGAGCGAGCUAAAGAACUGUGAGGACAAAGGCAGACAAGGUACGUACUCUCCGACGGUUAAAUCUGCUAGGAUGUGACCAACGGCAACGAGCAGGCAAUGGGCGGGACUUUCAGUUAAAGCCAGUGAGAGGCACAGACUUUUCGAGGGACUUGAGAAACUGGGAGAGAAACAGGAUUAACAACCACUAACUACGACUAUCUCCAGUUUGAAGUUUACAGAACAGUUAAAUGCACUAUUUUACCUCCAGUGAAACAGAUCUAUAUAUAAACUACCCAUUGCAUAUGUGUAAUAGUGAAGGUUUUAAAGCAGGUUUUAUACAGGCAUAAAUGUGUGUGACUGAACAAUGUUACACUCAAGGAGACUUUAACUAUCAGCCUGUCAGAGAGUACACAGAGAAAAUAUCUGUUGUUCGGCGAAUUAGAAAGAGGUGCACAUGACAGGGCUGAGUUGAACUCCAGAGUUUAUUCACAGUGGCAUAUGCAGAGACAGACUCAUUUUUAAACGUGCUUGGAAUGUCUGACCACAGACGCACAGCGCUGUGAUUGCAACACAGGGACACACAUGGCGCUUAAGAUGCUGGUUUCCCAAGAGCAGUACUGCAGUAAGAGAAAGGUUUUUAUACUUAUAGUUUUCUGCACUCCCUCUUAAAUUAGCAGGCUGACUCACAGGCCUUGUUCCAACCAUAGAGGGCAGUAGUUUUCUGAUUCUCCUCUACACAAUCUAGCAGCCAGAUCAAGCAGCCCAAGCGAUAUGUGAAGAAUGAUAUCACAAUGCAACAUGUGGUAGUGAUACCUUUUUUUAACUCUUUGGAGUCUGCCUUAAUUUAUUAUGGGACCAUGAACAUUUGGUCAUUUCUGCAUGCCAAGGACAAAUUUAUUCAUGCCACUUGUAAGCAGGCGAUGACAUAACCUAAUGUUUCUUUCAUGGAUGCAUGUUUAGCCUAUUUUAUUAUUAACUGGACAUUAUCCAAGGCCUCCUUUAACCCUUUAAUUGCAGCAUGUAUUGCUAUUUUAAAUUUUCUAAAUGGCACCAAGCAUUUUAUUCUUAUAAGGACUUAUACAAAUAAAGUAAAUAAGCAUUAGCAUUAAUUAAAUAGGGUAUUUAUUAUAUUAUUACCUGAUAUAAUAUUGUCUGAUUUAUUAUAAUUGAUUUUUUAAACUUAUUUUAUCUAUUUUUUACAGAAAACUCUCAGGUAAAGAUAUGAGGUGCUGAUCCAGACCGCGUCUCUCCAGUUCAGCGGCUAGCAAACGGCAGUGAAAGGGUUAACACUUACUGAAUGGGACAAAAUUUCAGGCUUCAUGACCACUCAAAAACUUUCUCCAUGAAGUCUAAGAACAGAUUGCACUUUCAUAUCACAUAGUAAUAAAAAUACAGGCUUGAAUCACUGAAAUAUAUCCACUUAAAAUAACAUUAAUUGUUAUGAGCUAUAUAAGCCACCAAAGUUCACACUUUAACCCUUUAUGUGUAAAUGACAUUACUCAACGGUUCUAGGGACAUUGUGACGCAGAAUAUAUAGACUGCAUGGUUGAUUCUGUCACAUGGCCAUCUAAGCUACAACUUCACAAAUUAUUUGAAGCACAAGGAUGUCUAUGAGCACAUGUUUACUUAUAAUAUUAUAUUACAAAGAAUUACCGGUUGCAGUUUGCACAGCAAAGCUACUAACGUCUGCUCUGAGAUCAACUGCCAACUGCUUACAGUUGAGCCUGGAGGGGCAGGGCAUAACAAGCAAUCCAGUAUCCUAGAAUAGUUACACAGGGCCUAUGUUCUGCAUUCUCCUACCACUAAAUUAUCACAAUAUUCAGUGCUAAAAUAUAUUUAAAAAGUAGUUUCAGCAAUUCUGUUGAGAGAAAGCAGUACAAUUCAUCAAAAGUAAGAUUGUAAACACAGCAGCACCAGUAGUGGCUGAAUCAGGAAGUGAGCAGUGCCUUGCUGCACUGGCUCUGUAUUGGAGCGGCCAUUUUGAAAGCUCCCUAUCUUAAUACAAUGCAGGGCAAAUUUGAUCAUUUAAUUUCAUCAAUCCAACACAAACAACAUUGAGAACUUCAUUGUUUUCAUGUUUAUCGCCGGUUAGGAGCUGCACACUCUCUUCCUGUCCCUUAACCUAACGGUUUCCCCUCAUUCUUCAUAGUGCAAAGCCUGGUUGUCAGUUUGGGCACUUCUCCUCCACAGAAGCACUGACACCAACAAAAAACAAACAGAAGCUAACUAAGCACGCCAAAAGACAACAAUGAAGGCUUCCUCCUGCAUAUGUCAAAUAAAGGUUUUCCUAUCUUUCAGUCCUUUCAACAGCCAGAGACUCUACAAAGAGAGGCAAUUGUCACUCCGGGAGCAGCUGGGAGCCCAAGGGGACUCCAGAGGGAACUGUGCAUCUGCCAGGCUCUGGUGCAGCUAUCAAUGGCCCAGAAUAGCCCUAAGGGGGUGACAAUGACUGCAGAAAAGGACAAAUGAGUGGGCUCACUCUAGAAAAUGCACUGAAAUUUCUCAUUUGAAUUGCAAGCGUUUAUGCAAAUACAUCCCACUAUUUGCAAACACCCCUCUCCAAACAGCCAGAAGUAAAACCACAGAGUGAAAGAGGUUCCCUUUAACAUACUGUAUGUGUAGAUGGGCUUCUGAAAGGCAGUAAGUGAUGUUGUCUUUUUGCCAGCUCUUAACAAUUAUUUUCUGAAUAUAUUGCAUAGUUCACAACAUAUUUUAUAAUCGCACGUAGCAACCACUAUUCUAUUGAAUGGCUGUACAAAUCUCCAGAUGUUGUACUGUUGAGGAUAUUUACUGAGCAACCCCAUUCAAAAGUUAUUAAAUCAGGAGCCAAAAUAUAAUUUGAAUUUCAUUAUUUUGUAGUGAAAGUAUUUUACCUUCUGAAACCGAAAUAAUACACAUUCAGCUUUAAUUCGAUUUGAAUAAUCCUUCUGCCGUGUCAUAUAUGCCAUAUGCUAUAUGUGUUUGUGAAACUCAAAUCGUGGAAAUCGUUCUUAUUUUUUAAAACAAAACACAUUUAUAUAUCUCUAAGGAUAUCAAUGUAUAAAGGAGUAAUUAUCAUUGACAACCGUUGACGGAACCAAUGAAAACUCUAGUCCACCAAAGAUGCCAACCAAAAGUACUUUGCUGAUAGAAUAAAUAUGUGUAAUUCUAGACCACACAAGGUAGGAUCUCAAAUCUCACUGCAUGCAAUGAAUAAGUAUUGCUUCACCAUUCCAGACCAUGCCUAUUUUAGGUAUUUCCAUGCCAAUGAAAAUGUCAAAGAACAAAUGAUGGCCUUUGUUUUUCUAUAAGCUUAGGCAAUAUAUGCAACACAAGAGCUGCGUCCAUAUUCCUGACAAAAUCAUCACAGUUGAGACUGAUGCGAUUUAUUAUUGAUGACCUUGAAAGUCGAGAUAAAAGCCUACAUACAACUGACGACUAUUUUAUUUGAUAAAAAGCUACACAUGUACACUUGCCAGAAGGUACCACUAAAUUCCCAUGGUUGAACGAAUGGUCCUUUUCAUGUAGGCGGUUGGUGCGCACCGGUUUUUAGAAUCAACUACAAAGCGUAAUGAAAUGUACUAUGGAGCUUAAUGAAAUGUUCCCUUGAACAGGCCAGUAUUCCCCAACCAGACACAUGCUAAAGCGGGCUGCAGCGACUGUGAAAGAUGUGGUUGUCCUUUCUGUGUUUUGUAUGGGUAAGUAUUUAUAUGUAAACAAUGGCUGUUGUGAAGACGCGCAGCGUUGCCGCGGUGCGUAAGUUUCUUGGGUAACUAUGCGCGCAAUUGAAAGGAAGAAAUAGCGUCUGAUCCUAGUAAUCCAAAAGGUCCUAAAUGAUGGAAAUCGAAUAUUGUGACCUUGAACUGAACGAAAUGGUGUGAUGCUGGUAAGAGCGUAGUUACAUUUGUAGUUUUUUUUUUAAUUUUUUUUUUACAUAUACAGUGGGCGCAACAAACACAUGUUAACUAACCGAUGAAAAAAGCACGCGGAU